UACGAAGGGAGCUAGCGUUGUUCGGAAUUACUGGGCGUAAAGGGCGCGUAGGCGGGUUUCCAAGUCGGGGGUGAAAUUCCAGGGCUCAACCCUGGGACGGCCUUCGAUACUGGGAGCCUGGAGAUCGGGAGAGGUGAGUGGAAUUCCGAGUGUAGAGGUGAAAUUCGUAGAUAUUCGGAGGAACACCAGAAGCGAAGGCGGCUCACUGGCCCGAGACUAACGCUGAGGCGCGAAAGCGUGGGGAGCAAACAGG
rnacentral:rRNA from 1 species